rnacentral:rRNA from 1 species
CGGGGUGCAGCAGGCGCGAAAACUUUACAAUGCGGGAAACCGUGAUAAGGGGACACCGAGUGCCAGCAUCAUAUGCUGGCUGUCCAGGUGUGUAAAAUACACCUGUCAGCAAGGGCCGGGCAAGACCGGUGCCAGCCGCCGCGGUAACACCGGCGGCCCGAGUGGUGAUCGUGAUUAUUGGGUCUAAAGGGUCCGUAGCCGGUUUGGUCAGUCCUCCGGGAAAUCUGACGGCUCAACCGUUAGGCUUUCGGGGGAUACUGCCAGGCUUGGAACCGGGAGAGGUAAGAGGUACUACAGGGGUAGGAGUGAAAUCUUGUAAUCCCUGUGAGACCACCUGUGGCGAAGGCGUCUUACCAGAACGGGUUCGACGGUGAGGGACGAAAGCUGGGGGCACGAACCGGAUUAGAUACCCGGGUAGUCCCAGCCGUAAACGAUGCUCGCUAGGUGUCAGGCAUGGCGCGACCGUGUCUGGUGCCGCAGGGAAGCCGUGAAGCGAGCCACCUGGGAAGUACGGCCGCAAGGCUGAAACUUAAAGGAAUUGGCGGGGGAGCAC